rnacentral:tRNA from 1 species
AGCGGGAUGGGGGAGCCUGGAGUUCCCGCUGGAUCAGAAAUUCUGCAUUAUUGAAAAAUUUCUGAGGCAAAGCUCAUAACCCAGAGGCCGGUGGUUCAAAUCCACCUCCCGCUA